CCAGAUGAUUGGACUCUUCAUAGGGGCCUCACUCACAAUGAAAUACGACCCAUUACUGACUAUCCAAGGGUGGCAAUGCUUAUUUGAACCAUCUGCAGUUGGUGAAAAAUAACCUGCUACAGCUAGUGAACAUUUCCCACCUUUUAUCCUCUGGCUUCAUAGGGCUGUGACAGAUGGUGCCCCAGCAGGAAUUAUGCAGCUCAACUGCCAAAGGUGUUGCUGUUCCUGCAGAAGUCCUAGAGACAGUGAUCUGCCCCAGCAAACAGACUUCUGCAGAACAAGCUGCUGUACCUAAGAACCAACCAACUCUUCUCAAGUAG
rnacentral:lncRNA from 1 species